GAUGAAGAACGUAGUGAAAUGCGAUAAGUAGUGUGAAUUGCAGAAUUCAGUGAAUCAUCGAAUCUUUGAACGCACAUUGCGCCCCUUGGUAUUCCAUGGGGCAUGCCUGUUCGAGCGUCAUUUGUACCUUCAAGCUUUGCUUGGUGUUGGGUGUUUGUCCCGAGGGACUCGCCUUAAAGUAAUUGGCAGCCAGUGUUUGGUUUUGAAGCGCAGCACAAGUCGCGAUUAAAGGCUACACGCCCGCUUCCACAAGCCUUUUUUCACUUUUGACCUCGGAUCAGGUAGGGAUACCCGCUGAACUUAAGCAUAUCAAUAAGCGGAGGA
rnacentral:misc_RNA from 1 species